UAUCAUUGUAUUGGAGAAUACAUCUUACCAGGAAAGUUAUUUUAACAUAAAACAGCUCCCAAGGAAGUGAAUAUAUAAUGUAUCAUAUAUAAUAUAUAUCUGUGCUUUGCAAACUGUUUUAUUAGUACUCACCUUAUUACACAGUUUCCUUUUUGCUGCAAUUGGCUCUUCUUGUGGACACUUCCAGAGAACUUCUGCUGUUAUUGCCCCUACUUGGGGACAUUUCCAAAGAAGAUUAGGGGGAAGCCUACUGAU